UACGUAGGGGGCAAGCGUUGUCCGGAUUUACUGGGCGUAAAGAGCGCGUAGGCGGAAGCUUAAGCGGUGCCUGAAAGCCCCCGGCUCAACCGGGGAGGGUGGUGCCGAACUGGGCUUCUUGAGGGCGAUAGAGGAGAGUGGAAUUCCGGGUGUAGCGGUGAAAUGCGUAGAGGUCCGGAGGAACACCAGUGGCGCAGGCGGCUCUCUGGGUCGGCCCUGACGCUGAGGCGCGAAAGCGUGGGGAGCGAACGGG
rnacentral:rRNA from 1 species